UACGGAGGAUGCGAGCGUUAUCCGGAAUCAUUGGGUUUAAAGGGUCUGUAGGCGGGCUUGUAAGUCAGAGGUGAAAGCGCUCAGCUCAACUGAGCAACUGCCUUUGAAACUGUUGGUCUUGAAUGGUUGUGAAGUAGUUGGAAUGUGUAGUGUAGCGGUGAAAUGCUUAGAUAUUACACAGAACACCGAUAGCGAAGGCAUAUUACUAACAAUUAAUUGACGCUGAUGGACGAAAGCGUGGGGAGCGAACAGG
rnacentral:rRNA from 1 species